AUACAGCGAAACUGCGAAUGGCUCAUUAUAUAAGUUAUCGUUUAUUUGAUAGCACCUUACUACUUGGAUAACCGUGGUAAUUCUAGAGCUAAUACAUGCUAAAAAUCCCGACUCACGAAGGGAUGUAUUUAUUAGAUUAAAAACCAAUGCCUUCGGGCUUUCUGGUGAUUCAUGAUAACUUCUCGAAUCGCAUGGCCUUGCGCCGGCGAUGGUUCAUUCAAAUUUCUUCCCUAUCAACUUUCGAUGCGAAGGUCUUGUCUUCGCAUGGUUACAACGGGUAACGGAGGGUUAGGGCUCGACCCCGGAGAGGGAGCCUGAGAAAUGGCUACCACUUUUAAGGAAGGCAGCAGGCGCGCAAAUUACCCAAUCCCGACACGGGGAGGUAGUGACAAUAAAUACUGAUACAGGGCUCUUAUGGGUCUUGUAAUCGGAAUGAGUACAAUUUAAAUCCCUUAACGAGGAACAAUUGGAGGGCAAGUCUGGUGCCAGCAGCCGCGGUAAUUCCAGCUCCAAUAGCGUAUAUUAAAGUUGUUGUGGUUAAAAAGCUCGUAGUUGAACCUUGGGCCUGGCUGGCCGGUCCCCCUCACCGGGUGCACUGGUCCGGCCGGGUCUUUCCCUCUGUGGAACCGCAUGCCCUUCACUGGGUGUGUCGAGGAAACAGGACUUUUACUUUGAAAAAAUUAGAGUGCUCCAGGCAGGCCUAUGCUCGAAUAGUACAGCAUGGAAUAAUAGAAUAGGACGUGUGGUUCUAUUUUGUUGGUUUCUAGGACCGCCGUAAUGAUUAAUAGGGACAGUCGGGGGCAUCAGUAUUCAGCUGUCAGAGGUGAAAUUCUUGGAUCUGCUGAAGACUAACUACUGCGAAAGCAUUUGCCAAGGAUGUUUUCAUUGAUAAGGAACGAAAGUUAGGGGAUCGAAGACGAUCAGAUACCGUCGUAGUCUUAACCAUAAACUAUGCCGACUAGGGAUCGGACGAUGUUAUUUUUUGACUCGUUCGGCACCUUU
rnacentral:rRNA from 1 species